CUACGGGAGGCAGCAGUGGGGGAUACUGCACAAUGGGGGGAACCCUGAUGCAGCGACGCCGCGUGGGUGAAGAAGCGCCUCGGCGCGUAAAGCCCUGUCAGCAGGGAAGAAAAUGACGGUACCUGAAGAAGAAGCCCCGGCUAACUACGUGCCAGCAGCCGCGGUAAUACGUAGGGGGCAAGCGUUAUCCGGAUUUACUGGGUGUAAAGGGGGCGCAGACGGCGAUGCAAGCCAGGAGUGAAAGCCCGGGGCCCAACCCCGGGACUGCUCUUGGAACUGCGUGGCUGGAGUGCAGGAGGGGCAGG
rnacentral:rRNA from 1 species